CUACAUCUACCCUGUAGAUCCGAAUUUGUUUGACAUUGGGCGACAAAUUCGGUUCUAGAGAGGUUUGUGUG
rfam:Zootermopsis nevadensis contig11435, whole genome shotgun sequence.